GAUGAACGCUGGCGGCGUGCUUAACACAUGCAAGUCGAGCGAUUUACUUCGGUAAAGAGCGGCGGACGGGUGAGUAACGCGUGGGUAACCUGCCCUGUACACACGGAUAACAUACCGAAAGGUAUGCUAAUACGAGAUAAUAUACUUUUAUCGCAUGGUAGAAGAAUCAAAGCUUUGGCGGUACAGGAUGGACCCGCGUCUGAUUAGAUAGUUGGGAAGGUAACGGCUUACCAAGGCGACGAUCCGGAGCGGACCUGAGAGGGCGAUCGGCCACAAUGGAAAUGAGACACGGUCCAAACUCCUACGGGAGGCAGCAGUGGGGAAUAUUGCACAAUGGGCGAAAGCCUGAUGCAGCAACGCCGCGUGAGCGAUGAAGGCCUUCGGGUCGUAAAGUACUUUCCUCAAGGAAGAUAAUGACGGUACUUGAGGAGGAAGCCCCGGCUAACUACGUGCCAGCAGCCGCAGUAA
rnacentral:rRNA from 1 species